rnacentral:lncRNA from 1 species
UUUUUUUUGAGAGAGGUGAACGAGAAAACGUUAGUUGAGAUAGUUUGGCGUGGCCGCGUUGGAGAGGAGAGGGAGAAUUGGGCCCAGGCUGCGGAGGAACGGGAUGGAUUGGGUUGUGUCGAGGAGGAGUGGGCUCGAUUGGGCCUUGGCCCCUAUGAGAGAGAGCAUAGGCUGUGCCGCGCAGCUCUUCGGGCUUUUGAAUGCUAACAAAUUUUUCUAUUCGGACUUGGUCGGGUUGGACCACGUUUAUAAUGGGCCAUUGAAUGGUGACCCUGUUUGUUAUUGGACGUUGAUGACCUCGUGGCCCAUGCAAGUAAAACAACAGCACAUGCCAUUACGCCAGAGCUAUAUGAAGUUUGAAGCAGGCAGCCAAAAGCUAAGUAUAACUUCACCUUGUUUCUGAAAAAAUCAAACAAAAGGGUACCAUAUAGUUUCAAACGGAGGGAGGGAGUAAUAAAUAAAAGUACAUGCAAAAUUUAGCUCAUAAUAAUCUAUGUGAAUUAUAAUCAAUAAAAAGAAAAAUUUGCAAUAAAGUAGUAAAAAUUAUUUUGUUUUCAUUCUGAUUGUGAGCAAAAUGUCAAAUAAGGACCACGUAAAAUACAUUACUUAUUAAUAUCUAAAAAAUUUAAAAUACUGAACACAUAUUUUUUUUGUUUUUGAAUGGAUGAAAAGUGAAAUAUUAAAUAAAAAUCUAUGGAUUAGUAGGCUAGAUAUUGGGGUGUAUCAGUAAGCUGUGAAGCAUGUGACAGGCCAAGCAGGGUCAAAAUAAAAAACCAAAUGAUGGAGACAAUUAGAUCGCCAAUAGUGUGCGAACUGAGCGUAGUAAGGUUUGGGUUUGAGUCCUCAACUCGGUAUUGGUGCUCACAUUUUUCUAGAUUUAUUUCAAGAUUUAAUCAGUGCUAUUCUUUCAAUGGUAGGUGACGUGCCAGUCGACAUUGAGACACCAGUAGUGACUUCGUCAAUUUCGAGGAUCUGCCGUCUCAAUCUUUUGGAGGUGCUUAUAUGGGUAGAGUUGCGUAUGUGUUCGUAGGGACGAGUGUACGUGCAUGUAUGUGAGUGACAGCAUCUGAACCGUGUGAUUCGCAAAAAAAUCACAAAUCUCCUAUUGUGUGUGCAUACACAUGGACAAAGCCGUGUAUGUAUAGCUACCGAGGGCUUAAUGGUCGUACAUAUCAUCAUCAGAACAGUAGGCUAACAAGAAGAUAAUGAACCCAAAUUAUAGUUUUAAAGACUUUAGAAACACACAAGCGAUCGAUUUGUUGUUGUGUAUAUAGCACAAGAUGAUAAUGCUAAGAAGGCGAUAGGGCAAUAAUUUCCCGCUAUUGCAGCCAAGGUUGAUUAGUUGCUUUCACACGCUGUCCCUGUUGAUGCAGUCAGGGUUGUUUGGUUACUUUCACAAUGUGACUCCGUCGAUGCUGCCAAUAAUGAUUGGCUGCUUUCACAAAGUUGAUACCAGGAUCUUAUCAUAUCUUUAUUGCCAGCCUAAUUAUUUGUUAACUGCACAAGAACCAACAUAGUAAAUAAAAAUAUUAUAUAAAUCCUCACCAUAAGUCUAUUACCUAAUAUUUGAGAUAAAAAGAAGAAAGAAACCACCAUAUUCACUCUCAAAAUUUAGAAAUUACCAACCUAAUCAGGAAAAAAAAAGGUUUAUACAGUUUGUUAUUGUAAUCAUCUCAUGGCCUAAAUUGAAAAAAGCAGUGAUUCUCAAAUACAAUCAAUAACUAGCUAAAUUCACAAUUAAAAAACAAAAAAUAGAAGUUUGGUUUGGAUACAAAUUGGAGGAAAAUACCUAAAUAAAGUGUCCACACAAAAUACAAUAAUGAAUAGCGCAAUAUGGAAGAACAAAAAAAAAUUCAAUAAAGGAUCUGUAUAUGUCGGAAGGGACGGAGGAUAUGGAAUGUGUUUCAGACACGGUCCCGGUUAAGGUCACAGUAGAGAUGAACAGUCAGUUACUCCUACCUUUCAGCGAGGAAGAAGUUAAGGUUGCUCUGUUCCAAAUGUUUCCAAUCGAAGCACCAGAGCCUGAAUGGUUUUCCAGCACAUUUUUUCCAGCGUCAUUGGGAUCUAUGUGGUGAGAAAGUAACGUCAGUUUGUUUUAAGGGUGUUGCGGGGAGAAGAUGACCCAUCAAGCAUAAACAAUACUUGCAUUGUAUUAAUUCCCAAGGUGGGUUAGCCAGAAGAGCUUGGUCAGUUUCGACCAAUCAGCCUCUGCAAUGUGAUAUACAAGAUCGGUUCCAAGGUGCUGGCAAACAGAUUGAGGAGAAUAUUGCUGGAAAUUAUAGCUGAAGAGCAAUCUGCUUUCGUCCCUAGGCGACUGACCACAGAUAACAUCAUUACAACUUAUGAGUGCAUGCAUUUUAUGAAGAAGAAGCGAGCUCAAGAUAGUAGGUGUUGUGCCCUAAAGCUAGACAUGAGGAAAGAUUAUGGCUGAGUAGAGUGGGGUUAUCUACGGUCAGUCAUGAUAAGGCUUGGUUUUCACCGAAUCUAGGUGGAGUCGAUUAUGAGAAUGGUGACCACGGUUUCAUUCUCGGUGCUUUUCAAUGGUAAACGGAUGGAAGGUUUUAAACCCUCAAGGGGUUUUUGUCAAGGGGAUCCAAUCUCUCACUACCUCUUUUUUGUUUGCAGCAGAGGGCCUUUCGUGCCUAUUAAAAUCACGAGUUCAGUCAGCGCAACUUAAUGGCAUCAAGGUGGCUCCAUCGGCUCCGGUGGUGAGUCACUUACUAUUUGUGGCUAACAACCUGCUGUUCUUCAAAGUGAAUAGGGAGAGUGCGAAGGAAGUUAAGAACAUGUUACAAUUGUACUGCAAGGCGUCAGGGCAACAAGUGAAUAUGGAUGAGUCGUCUAUACACUUUGCUAGAGGGUGCUUAGGAAGCUUAAGAGUGUAAAUAAAGAAUAUUCUGGAGGUUAAUAAUGAAGCUCUAAGUGAGAAAUAUCUAGGGAUGCCUACCGAUGUAGGCAGUUCAACAAAUGGUGCAUUUAAGUACUUGAAGGAUCGAGUGUGGAAGCGAGGGUAGGGUUGGAUUGAGAAGACGUUAUCAUCAAGAGGGAAAGAAGUGUUGAUCAAAGCAGUAGCCCAAGAUAUACCAACCUACUCCAUGUCUUGCUUCAAGCUCCCAAGAGGACUGUGCAAACAUUUUGAUGGGCUGCUUCGAAGCUUUUGGUGGGGGAGUAAGGAAGGAAAACAUAGGACAUGCUGGGUAGCAUGAGAUGACAUCACUAAACCUAAAUGCGCAGGUGGCCUAGGGUUUAGGGACAUUGAAAUGUUUAAUCUAGCGUUGCUAGCGAGGCAAGCUUGGAAAAUUAUGCAAGAGCCAAAUUCACUUAGUGCACGAAUCCUUAAAGCAGUCUACUUUCCUAAUGGAGAUUUCUUGGAUGUUGAAGUACGUGAGUCACCAUCAAGGGUGCGGCGAGCAAUUAUUGAUGUCAAAGAGGUACUCAAGCAAGGGAUCAUUCGUAGGAUUUGCAAUGGAGAGGAAACAUAUAUCUGGAGCAUGAAUUGGCUGCCAAGGGACUGCAUGUUACGUCCUGUGUGUUGCAUUGGAAACAAUCCUCUGCAGCUAGUCAGUGAUCUCAUUGAUCAGACAUCAGGGACUUGGAACUGCCACAAGCUAAAUCUUUUCUUCACUCCGUUGGACAUAAAAGUUAUCACAAAUAUCCCUCUUAGCUUAGAUGGAAGGGAUGAUUUAUGGGCAUGACAUUACGAGCGGACUGGCAUUUUCUCUGUCAGAUCUUCCUAUAGAAUGUUGGUACGCAACAAAGGAGCUACAAGAGCUUGGUUGGAUAGCACAGAUGGGAUGUCGGAUACACACACAGUAAAGAAGGAAUGGACUGACCUGUGGAAGGUCAAGGUGCCAUCAAAGAUUCAUAUGUUCUUAUGGAGGCUUGCUCACCAUUCUAUCCCAACAAGUGACAUGCGCCACCACAGGAACAUGGCUCCGAACAGCUGCUGUGGUUUCGUGGAGCCUUGGACUCAUAGAGAUAUUCAUUGCUAGAGUGCAACAUGUUUUGGUGUGUCUGGGCAUUGGAACACAAUGCCAUUAUAGAAGUUUUGGGUCAGGCUCAGAAUCAAGAUGCCCGAGGUUGGCUGAAGGAGGUGAUGGAGGUACUGCCACAUGAUAAACUUAUACGGGUGGUCAUGAGAUUGUGGGCAGUGUGGCAUGCACGGCGCAAGGCCAUUCAUGAGAAUAUGUUCCAAAGUCCGCUAUUGAUACAUUGUUUUGUGGAACGGUUUACAAUAGAAUUGGAGAUGUUGAAAUCAAGCCCAAAGUCACAACAACAACUGGGACAGAUUCAGAUUCCGAAGUGGAUACCCCCUCCGCAUGGUUUUGCUAAAAUCAAUGUUGAUGCGGCCAUAUCCGAAAACUCGACACGGUAGCGGUGGCAGCAGUGGCGCAAAGUGCUAUUGGCGCUUUUGUUGGAGCAUUAGCUGUGGUAUUGAAGGGGGUAGCGGUGGCAGCAGUGGCGCGAAGUGCUAUUGGCGCUUUUGUUGGAGCAUUAGCUGUGGUAUUGAAGGGGGUCACAGACGCCAAGACAAAAGAAGCGCUGGCAUGCAAGGAAGCCCUAGCACUAGCAAGCGACCUACUCAUUCAGGAAUUCAGGCUGGCGAGUGAUUGUGCUAGUGUCGUCAAGAAUCUCCAAGGGGCUGGCAUGGGCACCUAUGGACAGAUCAUCCGGGAGAUCAAUGCAGGGAGAGGAAGAUUCGAAGCUGUUGAGGUUGUGCACGAAAGCAGAAGAUCCAACAUUGACGCACUUGUGCUGGCCAGGAGCUCGAUUUAUAGUUAGGUCAGUACACAUUUAUGGUUUCUAACACCACGGAUGGUGUUUGUAAUUCAUACUCCCAUAACUUUGAAUAAAUAAAGGUGGAGAGGCUCAAAAAGAAUUACGCAAGAGCUAUAUGAAGUUUGAAAAAGGCAGCUAAAAGCUAAGUAUAACUUCACCUUGUUUCUGAAAAAAUCAAACAAAAGCGUACCAUAUAGUUUCAAACGGAGGGAGGGAGUAAUAAAUAAAAGGACAUGCAAAAUGUAGCUCACAAUAAUCUAUGUGAAUUAUAAUCAAUAAAAAGCAAAAUUUGUCAUAAAGUAGUAAAAAAACUAUUUUGUUUUCAUUCUGAUUGUGAGCAAAAUGUCAAAUAAGGACUACGUAAAAUACAUUAGUUAUUAAUAUCUAAAAAAUUUGAAAUACUAAACUCAUAUUUUUUUUGUUUUUGAAUGGAUGAAAAGUGAAAUAUUAAAUAAAAAUCUAUGGAUUAGUAGGCUAGAUAUAGGGGUGUAUCAGUAAGCUGUGAAGCAUGUGACAGGCCAAGCAGGGUCAAAAUCAAAAACCAAAUGAUGGAGACAAUUAGAUCACCAAUAGUGUGCGAACUAAGCGCAGUAAGGUUCUGCCCAAUAGGGUUCGAGUCCUCAACCCAGCAUUGGUGCUCGCAUUUUUCUGGAUUUAUUUCAGGAUUUAAUCGGCGCUAAUCUUUCAAUGGUAGGCGACGUGCCCGUCGACAGUGAGACGCUAGUAGUGACUUUGUCAAUUUCGAGGUCUUUCGGAGGUGCUCAUAUAGGUAGGGUUGCGUGCGUGUGUUCGUAGGGGUGAGUGUGCGUGCGAGUAUAGCGACUGCAUCUGAACCGUGUGAUUCGCAAAAAAAUCUCCAAUUGUGUGUGCAUACACAUGGACAAAGCCGUGUAUGUAUAGCUAUUGAGGACUUAAUGGUCGUACAUAUCAUCAUCAGAACAGUAGGCUAACAAGAAGAUAAUGAACCUAAAUUAUAGUUUUAAAGACUUUAGAAACACACAAGCGAUCGAUUUGUUGUUGUGUAUAUAGCACAAGAUGAUAAUGCUAAGAAGGCGAUAGGGCAAUAAUUUCCCGCUAUUGCAGCCAAGGUUGAUUAGUUGCUUUCACACGCUGUCCCUGUUGAUGCAGUCAGGGUUGUUUGGUUACUUUCACAAUGUGACUCCGUCGAUGCUGCCAAUAAUGAUUGGCUGCUUUCACAAAGUUGAUACCAGGAUCUUAUCAUAUCUUUAUUGCCAGCCUAAUUAUUUGUUAACUGCACAAGAACCAACAUAGUAAAUAAAAAUAUUAUAUAAAUCCUCACCAUAAGUCUAUUACCUAAUAUUUGAGAUAAAAAGAAGAAAGAAACCACCAUAUUCACUCUCAAAAUUUAGAAUUACCAACCUAAUCAGGAAAAAAAAGGUUUAUACAGUUUGUU